GACAGAGGUGGCAAGCGUUGUUCGGAAUUACUGGGCUUAAAGGGCGCGUAGGCGGUGGCGUAAGUCCGGGGUGGAAGGCUGAGGCUUAACCUCAGGAUUGCCCUGGAAACUGCAUCACUUGAGUCAGCAAGGGGAUGGCGGAAUUCCUGGUGUAGCGGUGAAAUGCGUAGAUAUCAGGAGGAAGGCCGGUGGCGAAGGCGGCCAUCUGGUGCUGAACUGACGCUGAGGCGCGAAAGCGUGGGGAGCAAACAGG
rnacentral:rRNA from 1 species